rnacentral:rRNA from 1 species
UACGUAGGGUGCGAGCGUUGUCCGGAAUUAUUGGGCGUAAAGAGCUCGUAGGCGGUCUGUCGCGUCGAUCGUGAAAACUUGGGGCUUAACCCUGAGCUUGCGGUCGAUACGGGCAUGACUGGAGUUCGGCAGGGGAGACUGGAAUUCCUGGUGUAGCGGUGAAAUGCGCAGAUAUCAGGAGGAACACCGGUGGCGAAGGCAGGUCUCUGGGCCACUACUGACGCUGAGAAGCGAAAGCAUGGGGAGCGAACAGG